AAAAUGCUUUUAUUCUCCAUAAUUCGGCCUGCAAGCUACUUUUUUAAUACCAAUUUUACCAGAAAAUCUGUUUUAAUGAGAGUAGAACACAAAACUGAACGGCUUUUAGCCUUGCAUCGUCUGCUCUACUGUGACCACGUGACCAUACCGGAAAUGAACCGCACUGGGAUAAAAUUAUGUGUGAUGUAAACAAACGAAAGGGGACUCAUAAGAGCUGAUAUUUUAUAUAUAUAUUAAGAAAUUCCCAGAGAAACGUGAUAUACGCCGAGCGUUGGUAUGCGCCGAGCAUUGGUCUGCCCACUCUAGAUAAUUUUAGUGAUAGAGAAGCCCUUUUUUAUGGUUUGGCAGAUUCCCUAGAGAGCUGCAUUGGGAAGUAACAGUAAAGCAGAAUACCUACAGUCCAUGAAGUUGAGAAAUGAAGAAAUGCAGCUCUGAAUUGUUUAAUACGGUGUGUUGGGAAAACAUUGUGGAUAUGAAGCAUAGAAAUCAUGUGUCAAUGUGAAGUAACAGUAACACAGAAUGCCUAGAGACCAUUAACUUGAGAACUGAAGAGAUGCAGGUCAUUGUUCUAUAUGGUGAUUGA